rnacentral:rRNA from 1 species
AACGGCGAGUGAAGCGGCAAGAGCUCAAAUUUGAAAUCUGGUCUCCCCCGGGGGCCCGAGUUGUAAUUUGCAGAGGAUGCUUCGGGUGCGGCCGCCGUCUAAGUUCCUUGGAACAGGACGUCAGAGAGGGUGAGAAUCCCGUCUUGGGCGGGCGGUCCGCGCCCGUGUGAAGCUCCUUCGACGAGUCGAGUUGUUUGGGAAUGCAGCUCUAAGCGGGUGGUAAAUUUCAUCUAAAGCUAAAUAUUGGCCGGAGACCGAUAGCGCACAAGUAGAGUGAUCGAAAGGUUAAAAGCACCUUGAAAAGGGAGUUAAACAGCACGUGAAAUUGUUGAAAGGGAAGCGCUUGCGGCCAGAUUCGGGGGCGGGGUUCAGCGGGUGCUCGUCGCCCGUGUAUUCCUCGUCUCCCGGGCCAGCAUCAGUUUCGACGGCCGGUCAAAGGCCCCCGGAAUGUGUCGUCUCUCGGGACGUCUUAUAGCCGGGGGUGCAAUGCGGCCCGUCGGGACUGAGGAACGCGCUCCGGCUCGGAUGCUGGCGUAAUGGCCGUAAGCGGCCCGUCUUGAAACACGGACCAAGGAGUCUAACAUCCACGCGAGUGUUCGGGUGUCAAACCCGUGCGCGCAGUGAAAGCGAACGGAGGUGGGAGCCCUAGGGCGCACCAUCGACCGAUCCUGAAGUCUUCGGAUGGAUUUGAGUAGGAGCGUGGCCGUUGGGACCCGAAAGAUGGUGAACUAUGCCUGAAUAGGGUGAAGCCAGAGGAAACUCUGGUGGAGGCUCGCAGCGGUUCUGACGUGCAAAUCGAUCGUCAAAUUU